GUCCCAGUAGCUAACACUUCAAAGCAUUGGCCUUGUAAACCAAAGACGGGUUUCAACCCCUGGGUCA
rnacentral:tRNA from 1 species